UUGUGUUGUGCAUCAAAAAUAAUUUUAACAUUCUAGUUUACCGAUUGGUUUACCGUAAUAAAUUAAGAUUAGUUUUAUAGAUAUCAAUAACAACUAAAUGUGGCAGUCUUGGAAAAAACCACGAAAGACGACGAGGGAGAGCGAGGGAGUACCAAUAAUGUAACAAGCCAUAGAACAAAAGACAGUGGAAGAACAGUGGUAAGUAAUAGUACCUAGGGUGAUUGCUAUAGUAAUUGGCCUGUACAUAGCUAUUGGCCACCUUGGCUAAAAUAAAAAUAAACAAGCAUAUGUACGUUAUUAAUAGUGGAAAAGAGACACAAAUACUUUCUCUGAGCAAUACGCUGU